rnacentral:Y_RNA from 1 species
UGCUGGUCCAAGUGCAGUGCUGUUUACAACUAAUUGAUCACAAACACAGAUUUCUUUGUUCCUUCUCCAAUUCCACUGCUUCACUUGACUAGCCUUAA